AUGGUGGCUGAGUUCUAAGUGGGAAUUCAAGAAACCAUUGGAAAGUGUGGGGUUGAAUGACUAGGACUAAUUACUAAGCGUGUAUUGAGAAAUGAAUUUGACCUUCUAAUUGGCCCAAUUGGAUGACCCGACCCGAAUAUCUAACGAGCUGGCGGCCCAUUUACUUUAGCAGCCCUAUGAGAUGAACUCUUCAGACUUCAAUCAGAUCCUUUCAACUCACUCUCCGGCUGCUCGAACUCUUCCUCUACGUCAAUGGCGGAACCUCAGACUGAUGAAGCUU